GUAGGGAUAUGAGUUUUUGCAUCAUAUGGAGCCAUAUAUCAAUCAGAAUUUUCAAGCACUUUGACACAUUUUGCAGUAAAACUUAUCGCCAAGUUUUCCAACCUUCCUAUUACAGUCCUUACAACUCAGGUAUGGCCACUUUUUGUCAAGGUCUAUGUGUAUUAUGCUCGCAACAACACAGAAGCUCCCUUCCUAUAUUUUAUUAAAAAUAACAUAGUUUAAAAAAUAGUCAUCUGUCAAAAUAUAAAUUAUUAAUGGAAUAGUGUUACUUACAUCCAUGCACUCAAUUAAUUGCUUGAUAGUUUUAGCUUCAAGCGAUCCAGAAGAUAAUAACUCAUCUGAAAUAGAAGAAGAGUUAUUUUGAGAGGAUAUUCGACUAAUCCUCUCGGCUUUACCUCCACGCACAUCUUCCAUUCUGUAUGGGUUGAAGUUUUGUUAAAAUCUAUUUCAUAUAACAAAUUAUUCAAUGUACUAAAAAGAAAUGGAGAGUAUACUACUAUAUAAACCUGGAGAUAAAUUCAGCAACUUCAGGCAGUUGAGGAUUUAUCCAUAAUUUUGAAGCAGUCCAAGAAUUGCGCACAAAAUAUUUUCCUGCAUUUAUGAGUAUAUUUGUUAUCACAUCAUGAAAUUUGUAUUCAAUAUAAAUCUUACAAAUGUAUAGAAAAAACUAGAAACCUUUGAAUUUAUGUGCCAGAUAAAUUCAGCAACUUCAGGCAGUUGAGGAUUUAUCCAUAAUUUUGAAGCAGUCCAAGAAUUGCGCACAAAAUAUUUUCCUGCAUUUAUGAGUAUAUUUGUUAUCACA